AGAAAUAAUUAAAAAAAAAUUUAGUAAAAUAUUAAAAAACGCGUAAUUAACUGUAUGUAGGUAAACGUACAUUUGCCUGUGCGAGUUUGCUGUCUGAAAAAAAAAAGAGAAAAAGAACGAAAUUUCGGUAACGAAAGCGAAAUCUAUUGAAGGUUAUUGUUUAAGUGCAGUGGUUCGAUGAGACCCUGAUUUUUAGACAACCAGCUAGUAGCCAGCAACACAAUUAGCAGCAGACUUUGUGGCAAAGAAAAGCGGAUUUUCAAAAAAUAUGUGCAUACAUUCGUACGUUUGAGAAUAAAUAAACUACCAUAAUAAAACAGCAGCAGCAGCUACUACAUAUGUAUAAUAAAGUUAAGUGAAAAAUACUUCAAUAUUGAAAAGUCAGCAACAGCAACAAAGCAUCAUUAACAGCAGGACACAUCCGACAAAUCGCAACGAAUUUCAAUAAUUUAUAACUAGAAAAAUUAAACGGAUAUAACUAAUUUAUUAGUCAAAUACCAGCAAAAAAAAAGCGGUGAGCACGACGAUAACAGCAGCAACACCAGUAACCCCUGAGAAAUUACUAAACUGCAAUUUUUAUUUUUGAAUCAUCAGAACAAAUCAUUGUUCAUUUAACAACAAGAAAAGAUAAAAAGCAACAACAAGAGCAGCGUAGUAGAUUGCAAAAAGUGCAAUAAAAGUUACAAUAAAAACAUUUGUAUACUUUA